rnacentral:rRNA from 1 species
CCUACGGGUGGCAGCAGUGAGGAAUAUUGGUCAAUGGACGAGAGUCUGAACCAGCCAAGUAGCGUGAAGGAUGACUGCCCUAUGGGUUGUAAACUUCUUUUAUACGGGAAUAAACUGUUCCACGUGUGGGUUUUUGUAUGUACCCUAUGAAUAAGGAUCGGCUAACUCCGUGCCAGCAGCCGCGGUAAUACGGAGGGUCCGAGCGUUAUCCGGAUUUAUUGGGUUUAAAGGGUGCGUAGGUGGUGGGUUAAGUCAGUUGUGAAAGUUUGCGGCUCAACCGUAGAAUUGCAGUUGAAACUGGCAGUCUAGAGUACAGUAGAGGUAGGCGGAAUGCGUGGUGUAGCGGUGAAAUGCUUAGAGAUCACGAAGAACACCGAUUGCGAAGGCAGCUCACUGGACUGCAACUGACGCUGAGGCACGAAAGUGUGGGUAUCAAACAGGAUUAGAUACCCCAGUAGUC